UACGAAGGGGGCUAGCGUUGCUCGGAUUCACUGGGCGUAAAGGGUGCGUAGGUGGUUGGGUAAGUCUGAUGUGAAAUCUCCGGGCUCAACCCGGAAAUGGCAUUGGAUACUAUUCGGCUAGAGGUUUGGAGGGGGGACUGGAAUUCUCGGUGUAGCAGUGAAAUGCGUAGAUAUCGAGAGGAACACCAGUGGCGAAGGCGAGUCCCUGGACAACACCUGACACUGAGGCACGAAAGCUAGGGGAGCAAACAGG
rnacentral:rRNA from 1 species